AAGAAAGUGGCAGAGCGGUUUUGUGGCUGGCUUGAACCCAGUUCAUGGGGGUUCAACUCCCUCCUUUCUCG
rnacentral:tRNA from 1 species